rnacentral:rRNA from 1 species
UACGUAGGGUGCAAGCGUUGCCCGGAUUUAUUGGGUUUAAAGGGUGCGUAGGCGGCCUUGUAAGUCAGUGCUGAAAUAUCCCGGCUCAACCGGGAGGGUGGCAUUGACACUGCAGGGCUUGAGUACAGAUGAGGUAGGCGGAAUUGACGGUGUAGCGGUGAAAUGCAUAGAUAUCGUCAAGAACACCUAUAGCGAAGGCAGCUUACUAAGCUGUAACUGACGCUGAGGCACGAAAGUGUGGGGAGCAAACGGG